GAGUGGGGUGGGGGGGGGAGGGUGGGGAGAGGGAAGAAGGGGAAGGAGAAGGCUGUCCUGAGCCGGGAUGUUUGUCCUGAGCCUGAAGUUUGAGCCGGAUUUGGGGGUGGAGAGGGGUGAUGGAAGAGAGAACCUUCCAGAACCGGGGAACAGCAGGUGCAGACAGGGAGGCCAGAGUGAGUGAGACAUUUGCACUUCCUCUGCCCCCUCCCACCUCUCUCCCAUUCUCAUGCCCAGGACCCCUGGGCAGCCUCUGCACCUGCACCCUGGGUCCCCGGGGAGGGGGGAAAACUGGCAUGAGGGUGCUGACGUGGCUGUGCUUAGAGAGCUUCUGGGUCCCCGUGGAAAAACCCAAGCCCGUCACUGGAGGAAAGGAGCGGGGUGUCAGGACAGCGGUGUGGUGACUGACCCCUGCACGAGCUUGCACAUUUUCGUGUAUCUUACAACGAACAGGCGUUUGUGACGUCACACGUGCCUCUAACACACGUUACUGGGACACCUCCCGCGUCGGAAGACUUUCCGGAAGAGUCACCGCGCGCAGACCCUUCCCGCCUGGCGUUCUCGGUGGCGCCCACGACCAGGAGACGGUGGCCGUCACCAGAACGAAUAGAGGAUGUGGGCCGAGGCAA